CAAUUUUCCAUGUUAAUAAUCAUGUAACUCUGGAGGGCAGGAUAAUUUCUCAGCUUUCAACCGUUGAAUAAGAUAAUGAAGUUUAAAAGAUGCUGCUGUGCGAUUCCCCAAGACAGCUGUGAGGUGUCUUCAGGGUGAGGAAAAUUUGCACGCGAAAAUUUUGCGAGGCAAGACCCAAAGCGAGCACCAGGAAAUGUUAAUUGCGUCGUGUGUCGAGAAUAUGUGGAGCAAUCAACCAAAAACGAGUGCAACACUUAAAAUAAUACUAGAAUUUGAAAGGUGAAUUACUAAUAACAUUAAAACAGGAAGAAAUAUUCAACUAAAAAGCCACAAUAUUGUCAGAUGCACAUCACCAGUAGACCUUAUCCCAUAUUAGACGAAUCCUGACUUACCCUGGAUCAUAAGUUAAUACAACCACAUAUCAUUACAGCAUUAUAUCAGUCACUGACCAAUGUGUAAAAUUAUGCAAAAGUCCUGUACUGAGAGUUUUCACCAAUUAUCGGACAAAAAUUCAGAGGACAAAUUCAAUGAACAUAAACUCACCAAUUAAAUGCAAAGGAGGACAAAAACUCACCAAAAUAAAACAAAAGUAAACUAACCUAAUUUAAUUCGAUGAGCUUUUGCUCCCCUUUCCAUUUAAUCGGUGAGUGAAUGCGGUGAGGUUCUGCCGUAUGAGUUUUUGUUUGCACCCCAUUUUCACCACCACACAGUAUAUCUAAUGUUAAACUGUAAAUAUUGAAAGUCCAAAGUAUGAUUCAAGUGUUCUGAAUUUAAAUUAAAUGCAAGAAUACUACAAGUAUAAAGAUAAAUAUAUUUUUAUAUUUUAGAUAACAUGUAUUGCAAGUAGAAUCCAUCAGUUAACACUUCCUAAUGGGUAAAUAUCUAUCCCAGAAAGUGAAGGUUUUGGUUUAUCCUCAUAAUUAGGAUAUGACACGGAGACUUCCCUAAAGACGAACAUUUGUGCUGCGAGCUUUCGAUGAUACAAACAAUUUGCAGUGGUUGAAAUUUGGGGCGUAAGGCUUAGUUUGUGGUCCAUCGCAUGUAGGUUGCAGUGUUAUGCAGGAUGCGCCGAGAUAUAAGCAAUAGUGUGUUACUCUAGCAGCAUCUCUUGUAUGUGUCCUUGUGCUCUUCACAAAUUAAUUUGUGAUUAUUGCACCCCAAUAUGUCUGGUGUUAAGCACAAAAGCAGUGGUGAUGCAAGUGGUAGUGUUAAGAAGUGCCAGGCCAUCACAAUGGAAACAAAAAUGGACAUAAUAAAGAAAGUAGAGUGAGAUGAAAAGUGGUGAGUGUCAUCGAUUAGUUUCGCUUCGCCACUUAAAGUCAGCCUAUGUACACCAGCUUUGACAAUUUUUCAAGGUGCGGAAGAGCAGGAGCUUGACUCUCGUAAUCAACAGCGAGCCUAUGCACUUGCAGGCAAAGUUUCAGCUCUUCGAGGACUCGCUCUUGACAUUGAGAAUGAAGCUUAUGAACACAACAGACUUCUUGAUGGGAUCGGCAAUGACUUCUCCAGUAGUGACGGGCUGCUGUCAGGCAGCAUCAA